CAUGAGACAGUUCUUAACCUGACAGCCUGCAAAGGUUUUGAGGGCGUUUAUGUUGCGGCAUUAGCAGCUGUCAUCCUGCUCUUUCUUUUUAUGGCUUUGAGUUUUGCUCUAUUUAAAAUUUGUAAAAAAUCAAGACCCAUACAUAUUAUUAAUGGUUCUAAUGAGGAAAUUAUCUACGCAGAUGUUAAAGUGUUAAAAAGUACAAAAAGAACUGGGCCUAACUUACACGACAACACAAGAUAAUUU